rnacentral:snRNA from 1 species
GUCUCUUUGGGGACAUCCGAUAAAAUUGAAACGAUACAGAAAAGAUUAGCAUGGCACCUGCGCAAGGAUGACACGCACAAAUCGAGAAAUGGUUCAAUUUUUU